AAAGAAAAAUUAUCACAAUUAUUUUAGUUGUAAUUUUUAAAAAUCAUACAUGAUUGUACAUAUUUAUGGGGUACAGUGCGAUAUUUUCAUAAAUGUAUACAAUGUGAAAAGAUCAAAUAAGGAUAACUAAUACAAGAAUCACCUCAUUUAUCCUUUCUUUGUGUUAGGAACAUUCAGAGUCCUCUUUUCUAGGAAUAUUGAAAAUAGUCAAUGAGUUAUUGUUAACUAUAGUCACCCUCUUGUACUUUGGAACACUAGAGCUUAUUUCUCCUAACAGUAAUUUUGUACCUACCAGUCAACCUCUCUCUGUCCCUCCCUCCCCACCACAAUUCCCAGCCUCUGGUAACUAUUUUACUCUCUACAUGCAGGAAGUUAACUUCUUUAGUUUCCACAUACAAAGUAGAGUAUGCAAUUUUGUCUUUUUGUGCCUUUGUAGUAGGUGACAAAUAGUAUCCUCUUUAAAACUGUUUUGCUCAGUAAGAUUAGUUUUCAAAAUCAUAUUCUUAGGAGCCACACUCCUUCUCAAAGUCUUAGAAGGUUUCCAUUUCUCUUAGAAUAAUGGCCCAACACUUUAUCAUAGGCUUCAACCUUCAUUCCCAUGCUUAUUCCCUUUGUUACCUCUUCUUUGAGUCUUCCCAGAACCAACUGAAUUUUUUGGUCUAUCCAGUGUUCUUCCAACCCUGUAUCUUGCACACAUAUUUUCCUCUUCUUAGGAUGUCUUACCCUGAUUAUUAACAUCUUUUGAGUACAAAUUUAAAUACCCCUUACUCUAUAAACAUUUACCUUGAGCCCCAUAAUUGAAAAUAAUCUCUCCUUCCUCUAAACUUCCAAAAUAACACUCAGUAUACCUAUCAGUCAUAAAAAUACCUUCCACUUUUAUGGAUGUACAGUUUUCAAAUGAUUUUUACAUAUAUUUUUC
rnacentral:lncRNA from 1 species